rnacentral:tRNA from 1 species
GCCAGUAUUGCAUAAUUGGUAAUGCGUUUGUUUUGUAAUCAAAAGAUUAUAGGUUCGAGUCCUGUUAUUGGCA